AGGACGAACGCUGGCGGCGUGCUUAACACAUGCAAGUCGAGCGGAAAGGCCCUUCGGGGUACUCGAGCGGCGAACGGGUGAGUAACACGUGAGCAACCUGCCCUUAGCUUCGGGAUAGCUCCGGGAAACCGGAAUUAAUACCGAAUAUGACUUUGGCUGACAUCAGCAGAAGUGGAAAGUUUUUCGGCUAGGGAUGGACUCGCGGCCUAUCAGCUAGUUGGUGAGGUAACGGCCCACCAAGGCGACGACGGGUAGCCGGCCUGAGAGGGCGACCGGCCACACUGGGACUGAGACACGGCCCAGACUCCUACGGGAGGCAGCAGUGGGGAAUAUUGCGCAAUGGGCGAAAAGCCUGACGCAGCGACGCCGCGUGGGGGAUGAAUGCCUUCGGUUGUAAACCCUUUCAGCAGGGACGAAGCGAAAGUGACGGUACCUGCAGAAGAAGCGCCGGCUAACUACGCGCCAGCAGCCGC
rnacentral:rRNA from 1 species